AUUGCUCAGUACGGCGAGUGAGCGCCAACAGCUCAAAUUUGAAAUCUGGCCUCCUUUGGGGUCCGAGUUGUAAUUUGUAGAGAAUGCUUCGGGUUCGGCCACGGUCUAGUUCCUUGGAACAGGACGUCAUGGAGGGUGAAAUCCCGUGUGGGACCGCCGGCCACGCCCGUGUGAAGCGCCUUCGACGAGUCGAGUUGUUUGGGAAUGCAGCUCAAAAUGGGUGGUAAAUUUCAUCUAAAGCUAAAUAUUGGCCAGAGACCGAUAGCGCACAAGUAGAGUGAUCGAAAGAUGAAAAGCACUUUGGAAAGAGAGUUAAAAAGCAUGUGAAAUUGUUGAAAGGGAAGCGCUUGCCACCAGACUUGCCCCCGGGUGUUCAACCGGCGUUCUCGCCGGUGCACUCGCCCGGGGUCAGGCCAGCAUCGGUUCAAGCGGCCGGAUAAAGGCCCCUGGAAUGUGGCUCCCCUCGGGGAGUGUUAUAGCCAGGGGUGCAAUGCGGCCCGCCUGGACCGAGGAACGCGCUUCGGCACGGAUGCUGGCGUAAUGGUUGCAAGCGGCCCGUCUUGAAACACGGACCAAGGAGUCUAACAUCUAUGCGAGUGUUUGGGUGUCAAACCCAUGCGCGGAAUGAAAGUGAACGGAGGUGGGAGCCCUCGGGCGCACCAUCGACCGAUCCUGAUGUCUUCGAUGGAUUUGAGUAAGAGCAUAGCUGUUGGGACCCGAAAGAUGGUGAACUAUGCCUGAAUAGGGUGAAGCCAGAGGAAACUCUGGUGGAGGCUCGCAGCGGUUCUGACGUGCAAAUCGAUCGUCAAAUUUGGUAUAGG
rnacentral:rRNA from 1 species